rnacentral:rRNA from 1 species
AGCAGCAGCCGCGGAAUACAGAGGGUGCGAGCGUUAAUCGGAUUUACUGGGCGUAAAGCGUGCGUAGGCGGCUUCUUAAGUCGGAUGUGAAAUCCCUGAGCUUAACUUAGGAAUUGCAUUCGAUACUGGGAAGCUAGAGUAUGGGAGAGGAUGGUAGAAUUCCAGGUGUAGCGGUGAAAUGCGUAGAGAUCUGGAGGAAUACCGAUGGCGAAGGCAGCCAUCUGGCCUAAUACUGACGCUGAGGUACGAAAGCAUGGGGAGCAAACAGGAUUAGAUACCCCUGUAGUCCCUGUCUCUUAUACA